UUAGCACGACUCCUGAAAACACAAUCAGAAAAAGCUUCCAACUUUAAUUGUUUCUCUUUUCAAAGUUUCAAGAACUGUUCAUCUGCUUCCUUCAUCUCUUUAGAUCCCCCAUCUCUCCAAUUUUCAUGACAGAUUACUCACCCAUCAGAUCGGCAAGCUGCAUAAUCGUUCUCUCUCGACCUCCUCUUCUACAAAAAUAGACAAGGCAUCACCUUCUAUCUCCACGGUAGUGAAACCCAAAUCCAGUCCCAUUUGAAGACAUUAAAUACAAGUCAGGGCCUCUGCUGUAAAAACCGAAUUAUGUUAUCAUUGAGAACAGUUCUAGAACCCAGGACUCUUCCAUUUGCACCCUGAAUCACUAGCCCUGAAAUUUUCAAAGAACCAGGUAACCCAAUCCAGAAAACACAGAUUUUCAAAUUAGCUAAGCCAUGCACAUUGUAAUUGUCGCCAAAUCUCCUUGAUCGCAGGGCAGUCCCUAAAAGCAUGCUUUAAAGUCUCUGUUGAAUCUGCACAUUUAGAACAAACAGUUUCGUUUGAUAACCGCUUGUAAUAUAAAUUACAUAGAGUAGGGAUAUAAUUCUUCGAGCAUCUCCAGAAUGUAAUUUUCAAUUUGGUGGGUAGUUGUAGGCCCCAUAAUUUUUUGUAAAA